AUUGAACGCUGGCGGCAGGCCUAACACAUGCAAGUCGAACGAGUGGCGGACGGGUGAGUAAUGUCUGGGAAACUGCCCGAUGGAGGGGGAUAACUCCUGGAAACGGUAGCUAAUACCGCAUACCCUCGGAUGUGCCCAGAUGGGAUUAGCGAGUAGGUGGGGUAACGGCUCACCUAGGCGACGAUCCCUAGCUGGUCUGAGAGGAUGACCAGCCACACGGGAACGGAGACACGGUCCAGACUCCUAGGGGAGGCAGCAGGGGGGAAUAUUGCACAAUGGGCGCAAGCCUGAUGCAGCCAGGCCGCGUGUAUGAAGAGGGCCUUCGGGUUGUAAAGUACUUGCAGCGAGGAGGCGUUACUCGCAGAAGAAGCACCGGCUAACUCCGUGCCAGCAGCCGCGGUAUUC
rnacentral:rRNA from 1 species